AGACUACGAGUGAUAAGAUCCGUGGUCAAAAGGGAAACAGCCCAGACCACCAGCUAAGGUCCCCAAUGUCGUACUAAGUGGAAAAGGAUGUGGGGUCUCUAAAACAACCAGGAUGUUGGCUUAGAAGCAGCCACCAUUUAAAGAGUGCGUAAUAGCUCACUGGUCGAGAGACCCUGCGCCGAAGAUUACCGGGGCUAAAGUACGAAACCGAAGCUGUGGCUACGACGUAAGUCGUGGGGUAGGGGAGCGUUCUGUGAGGGCUGAAGUCGUUCUGUAAGGAACGGUGGACUUCACAGAAGUGAGAAUGUUGGUAUGAGUAGCGAAAAGAAUGGUGAGAAUCCAUUCCACCGAAAGCAUAAGGAUUCCUGGGCAACGAUCGUCGUCCCAGGGUAAGUCGGGACCUAAUCCGAGGCAUGGAGCGUAGGAGAUGGACAACUGGCAGAUAUUCCAGUACCGGUAAUGAUUGUUUGAGCGAUGGAGUGACACAGGAGGGCAGGCAGGCAGGAGAUUGGUUGUUCCUGUACAAGCGUGUAGGGUGGAACGUAGGCAAAUCCGCGUUCUGAGAGCCUGAGGCGUGAUGUGGAGGUUCCGGAAACGGAACCGAAGCUGCUGACCCCACACUGUCGAGAAAAGCUUCUAGUUAGAGAAUUACCGCCCGUACCGUAAACCGACACAGGUAUGCGGGGAGAGAAUCCUAAGGUGCGCGGGAGAACCCUCGUUAAGGAACUCGGCAAAAUGUACCCGUAACUUCGGGAUAAGGGUAGCCGCUGUUGUGAAGUCUGAACAGACGGAGCAUGAGGCGGUCGCAGAGAAGAGGCCCAAGCGACUGUUUACCACAAACACAGGUGCCUGCUAAAGAGAAAUCUGACGUAUAGGUGCUGACACCUGCCCAGUGCCGGAAGGUUAAGGAAGGAUGUCCGGAGCAAUCCAAAGCAUUCGACCGAAGCCCCGGUGAACGGCGGCCGUAACUAUAACGGUCCUAAGGUAGCGAAAUUCCUUGUCGGGUAAGUUCCGACCCGCACGAAAGGUGUAACGAUUUGGGCACUGUCUCAACGAGGGACCCGGUGAAAUUGAAGUACCUGUGAAGAUGCAGGUUACCCGCGACUGGACAGAAAGACCCCAUGGAGCUUUACUGUAACCUGACAUUGGGUUCUGAUACAUCACGUACAGGAUAGGUGGGAGGCAUGGAAGCGAGGACGCUAGUCUUCGUGGAGCCGCCGUUGGGAUACCACCCUUGAUGUAUCGGAAUUCUAACCGUAGGAGUAACGAAACUCGGGACAGUGUCAGGCGGGCAGUUUGACUGGGGCGGUCGCCUCCCAAAGAGUAACGGAGGCGCCCAAAGGUUCCCUCAGCGCGGCCGGAAAUCGCGCGAAGAGUGUAAAGGCAGAAGGGAGCUUGACUGAGAGCCAAACACGGCGAUCAGGUACGAAAGUAGGGCUUAGUGAUCCGGUGGCAUCCAAGUGGAAGGGCCAUCGCUCAACGGAUAAAAGCUACCCUGGGGAUAACAGGCUAAUCUCUCCCAAGAGUCCAUAUCGACGGGGAGGUUUGGCACCUCGAUGUCGGCUCAUCACAUCCUGGGGCUGAAGUCGGUCCCAAGGGUUGGGCUGUUCGCCCAUUAAAGUGGUACGCGAGCUGGGUUCAGAACGUCGUGAGACAGUUCGGUCCCUAU
rnacentral:rRNA from 1 species